GCCAAGCAAGAAGAGGCAGCAUAAACACUGUGAACAUGUCCGGUUCCUUCCGACCUUUUUAUACUUCACUGUGAAGCUGAACAUUGACCUUCACUUCCACGGAGGACUCUUUCUGCUGCCUCGCAAAGGCAACUCUUCAUCUUUGUAAUAACAGGGGAGCUGGCUGGACCUGGUGCUUCUCCAGCAUCUCAAGUGUUAUCUGAUGUGGGCCCAUUAUCACUGGGAAUAAAAUAAACUGUCUUUUUUGGUAAGCGAGUGAGGAGCGGUGUAAGUGUGGAGCAGGUUCAAGGCUCUUUGGAGGUAAAGCGCACAAACAGAAACCAAAGCGGGGUCCAGAAGAUGGCUUUGGUGUUUUCUGCUUGCAAAUCAUGGAGAUGAGAUUUGGAAUUUCCUCUAAGACCUAAAACUAAGAAGAGCAGGUCCCUGAGGAAUGUUCAGCAAGGUGGCAGGAAACGUCCUGGAUGCACUAGAGAUGUACCUGUCUCUGCAGCCAUGUGAUGUGGCGUGAUGAAGGAAUAACUCAAGAAGAGCAGAUGUCAAUGUCUAGGGUGAUUUGGAGAACCACGGGAUAUGGAAGGAAGCACCUCCAUCAGCCUGGAUCCUUGAGUGACUACAUGGAGCAAAACUAUAUUGCCUUCAUUACCGACUGAACUACAUGACCAGGGACAGAGCAGCCAACAAGACCCACAGGCGUGUUCUCCUGGAACCCUCAUUCCCAUGGAAGAGACAGACACUGGACAAGCAAUAAUCAAGUAAGCACAUAAAUG